rnacentral:rRNA from 1 species
GAUGAACGCUGACGGAAUGCUUAACACAUGCAAGUCAACCUGUGGCGGACGGGUGGGUAACGCGUACAUCACUGGCCUCACAGCUAGGGACGACAUAUCGAAACGAACGCUAACAACUAAUUCUGUGAGAGAGUUUUGCGUCCCAUUAGCUAGUUGGUGAGGUAACGGCUCACCAAGGCGAUGAUGGGUAGCCGGCCUGAGAGGGUGUUCGGCCACGAGGGGACUGGUAAACGGCCCUUACUCCUACGGGAGGCAGCGGUGGGGAAUAGUGGACAAGGGACCAAAGUGUGAUCCAGGAAUUCUGUGUGCACGAUGAAGUUGUCGGAAUGUAAAGUGCUUUCAGUGGGGAAGCGGUACCAACAGAAGAAGUGACGGCUAACUACGUGCCAGCAGCCGCGGUAAUAC